rnacentral:rRNA from 1 species
GUGGAUUAGAUACCCUGGUAGUCCACGCCUUAAACGUUGUGCACUAGAUGUGGGGGGUUUGACCCCUUCCGUGUCCAAGCUAACGCGAUAAGUGCACCGCCUGGGGACUACGGCCGCAAGGCUAAAACUCAAAGGAAUUGACGGGGGCCCGCACAAGCGGUGGAGCAUGUGGCUUAAUUCGAGGCAACGCGAAGAACCUUACCUGGGCUUGACAUGUUCAGGACCGUCCGCGAAAGCGGAUUUCCCUUCGGGGCCUGAUCACAGAUGCUGCACGGCCGUCGCCAGCU